rnacentral:rRNA from 1 species
CCUACGGGAGGCAGCAGUGGGGAAUAUUGCACAAUGGGCGAAAGCCUGAUGCAACGACGCCGCGUGAGGGAUGACGGCCUUCGGGUUGUAAACCUCUUUCAGCAGGGAAGAAGCGAAAGUGACGGUACCUGCAGAAGAAGCGCCGGCUAACUACGUGCCAGCAGCCGCGGUAAUACGUAGGGCGCAAGCGUUGUCCGGAAUUAUUGGGCGUAAAGAGCUCGUAGGCGGCUUGUUGCGUCGGUUGUGAAAGCCCGGGGCUUAACCCCGGGUCUGCAGUCGAUACGGGCAGGCUAGAGUGUGGUAGGGGAGAUCGGAAUUCCUGGUGUAGCGGUGAAAUGCGCAGAUAUCAGGAGGAACACCGGUGGCGAAGGCGGAUCUCUGGGCCAUUACUGACGCUGAGGAGCGAAAGCGUGGGGAGCGAACAGGAUUAGAUACCCUGGUAGUCCACGCCGUAAACGUUGGGAACUAGGUGUUGGCGACAUUCCACGUCGUCGGUGCCGCAGCUAACGCAUUAAGUUCCCCGCCUGGGGAGUACGGCCGCAAGGCUAAACUCAAAGGAAUUGACGG